rnacentral:rRNA from 1 species
UACGGAGGGUGCGAGCGUUGUCCGGAAUCACUGGGCGUAAAGGGCGCGUAGGCGGCCUGAUAAGUAGGGGGUGAAAUCCUGCGGCUUAACCGCAGGGCUGCCUUCUAAACUGUCAGGCUGGAGCACAGUAGAGGCAGGUGGAAUUCCCGGUGUAGCGGUGGAAUGCGUAGAGAUCGGGAAGAACAUCAGUGGCGAAGGCGGCCUACUGGGCUGUUGCUGACGCUGAGGCGCGACAG